rnacentral:tRNA from 1 species
GUCCUGAUAGUAUAAGUAUUACACUGGUCUUGUAAACCAGUAAUGAAAAAAACCCUUUUUCUCAGGACA